AUGACGUCAAAUCAUCAUGCCCCUUAUGACCUGGGCUACACACGUGCUACAAUGGGCGGUACAAAGGGUCGCGAACCCGCGAGGGGGAGCCAAUCCCAAAAAAGCCGGCUCUCAGUUCGGAUUGCAGGCUGCAACUCGCCUGCAUGAAGCCGGAAUCGCUAGUAAUCGCGGAUCAGCACGCCGCGGUCGAAUACGUUCCCGGGCCUU
rnacentral:rRNA from 1 species